rnacentral:rRNA from 1 species
CAGUCGCCGCGGGAAUACGGAGGGGGCUAGCGUUGUUCGGAAUUACUGGGCGUAAAGCGCGCGUAGGCGGUUUUUUAAGUCUGAUGUGAAAGCCCACGGCUCAACCGUGGAGGGUCAUUGGAAACUGGAAAACUUGAGUGCAGAAGAGGAAAGUGGAAUUCCAUGUGUAGCGGUGAAAUGCGCAGAGAUAUGGAGGAACACCAGUGGCGAAGGCGACUUUCUGGUCUGUAACUGACGCUGAUGUGCGAAAGCGUGGGGAUCAAACAGGAUUAGAUACCCGCGUAGUCCCUGUCUCUUAUAC